UCGUGGGCCCCGUUAUAGUACCCAUCUCUCCCCGUCGGUGGACGAACAACAACUCCGGCAUGCAGGGAUGGUGGUUGCACCCGAUUCGGCCACACCACCGGGUACUUGAACCCGCGUCCCUCGCCUCUCGCCAUACCUUGCAACCUUCCUUGAGUUCUCCUAUGCUUCGUGUGUGUUUCACCGGUGUGAGGGGAGAGAUUGGUGAGCGAUCCGCCGCCAUAAAGGCUCUGAUUCACCGUCGUUGCGGCGUCCGGUUUGGGCCGGAGAUCUUCGUCCGGUUCCAGGGGCCUAUUCCAUGGCGUCGCGAGGGUGCAUGUGACGAUAGGGAUGCUGGGAUUGCUCGUCGGUGUCAAGAACCCUCGCGGAGCCGCCAAACCCCGUCGUCGGCCCUCAGCACCGAUCUAUCACCGGUACCACAGGAUGAGGCGCAUGAAGGAUGUUGUGAUGAGUUCGUGAGUGGUCUAGGCCGUCGUCUCCCAGUCACCUUUGGUUGAUGGAUCGUUGACUUCGUAUGAUGUAAUUAUUUAACUAUUUUGUAUAGAACUCUGUUAUAUAUUAAUGAUAUGACAUUCGUUUC